rnacentral:rRNA from 2 species
AGCUUGCUCCUUUGACAUUAGCGGCGGACGGGUGAGUAACACGUGGGUAACCUACCUAUAAGACUGGAAUAACUCCGGGAAACCGGGGCUAAUGCCGGAUAACAUUUAGAACCGCAUGGUUCUAAAGUGAAAGAUGGUUUUGCUAUCACUUAUAGAUGGACCCGCGCCGUAUUAGCUAGUUGGUAAGGUAAUGGCUUACCAAGGCAACGAUACGUAGCCGACCUGAGAGGGUGAUCGGCCACACUGGAACUGAGACACGGUCCAGACUCCUACGGGAGGCAGCAGUAGGGAAUCUUCCGCAAUGGGCGAAAGCCUGACGGAGCAACGCCGCGUGAGUGAUGAAGGGUUUCGGCUCGUAAAACUCUGUUAUUAGGGAAGAACAAACGUGUAAGUAACUGUGCACGUCUUGACGGUACCUAAUCAGAAAGCCACGGCUAACUACGUGCCAGCAGCCGCGGUAAUACGUAGGUGGCAAGCGUUAUCCGGAAUUAUUGGGCGUAAAGCGCGCGUAGGCGGUUUCUUAAGUCUGAUGUGAAAGCCCACGGCUCAACCGUGGAGGGUCAUUGGAAACUGGGAGACUUGAGUGCAGAAGAGGAAAGUGGAAUUCCAUGUGUAGCGGUGAAAUGCGCAGAGAUAUGGAGGAACACCAGUGGCGAAGGCGACUUUCUGGUCUGUAACUGACGCUGAUGUGCGAAAGCGUGAGGAUCAAACAGGAUUAGAUACCCUGGUACUCCACGCCGUAAACGAUGAGUGCUAAGUGUUAGGGGUUUCCCGCCUCUUAGUGCUGCAGCUAACGCAUUAAGCACUCCGGCGUGGGGCAGUACGACCGCGAGGGUGAAACUCAUUGAAUUUGACGGAGCCGCCGCACGAGCGGGUUGAGCCUGUAGUUUACAGCGAAGCACUCGCACACACUUAACAAAUCGUGGAGUCCGUUGGACAACUUCUCAAGAGUCA